AUGAAGAGGGACCCGGACGUCCAUCUGAAAGCGAGCUACGAGCCUCAGAAACACGACUUUUCCUAGCUGUGUUCCGAGGUUUUCUCUUUUCUCUCUGACCCGGGACAACCCGGGCUACACCUCCUCCGCCCUGGCCAGCACCCUCACCCAGACCCUCACCCCCCCCACAGCCGCCGCCGCCUCCGACUCCCGGGGACGCAAGUCCAAAAGCAGCAUCAAGUCUUCCAACCACCAGUCGUCUUCAUCGUCCUCCUCCUCCUCUCUGUCCUCCUGCUCUUCAUCGUCCGCCCUGGCCCAGGAACUUUCCCAGCAUGCAUCAGCGCUGCCCGAGGCCGAGGCCAACAGCCAGUUCACUGACAUGACUACGAAACCCCAACGAGCCCUAUACCUGCAUCUGUACCCAUGUUUCUUACGGAGAGAUGGUCGGGUGUGACAACACAGAUUGUCCCAUCGAGUGGUUCCACUACGGCUGUGUGGGUCUGACCGAGGCCCCCAAGGGGAAGUGGUUCUGUCCUCAGUGCACGGCGGCCAUGAAGAGACGGGGCAGCCGCCACAAAUAGGCUGCAGAGGUCAGAGGUCACCAGGCUGCUCACACACACACAUCAGCUUUAAAUUCAGACUCCAUGUUUUUCACUGAAUAUCAGCCAUAAGUGUAGUUUUUUAUGUUAUAAGCCCAGAAACUACAAAUGUUCUCCAUGUUUGUUUUGUCAUAAGAAUGUCAAAA